rnacentral:rRNA from 1 species
CCUACGGGCGGCAGCAGUGGGGAAUAUUGCACAAUGGGGGAAACCCUGAUGCAGCGACGCCGCGUGAGUGAAGAAGUAUUUCGGUAUGUAAAGCUCUAUCAGCAGGAACGAGACAAGACGGUACCUGACUAAGAAGCCCCGGCUAACUACGUGCCAGCAGCCGCGGUAAUACGUAGGGGGCAAGCGUUAUCCGGAAUCACUGGGUGGAAAGGGAGCGUAGACGGCUGAGCAAGCCUGAAGUGAAAGGCGGGGGCCCAACCCCCGGACUGCUUUGGGAACUGUACGGCUGGAGUGCAGGAGGGGUAAGUGGAAUUCCUAGUGUAGCGGUGAAAUGCGUAGAGAUUAGGAGGAACACCAGUGGCGAAGGCGGCUUACUGGACUGUAACUGACGUUGAGGCUCGAAAGCGUGGGGAGCAAACAGGAUUAGAUACCCCGGUAGUC